CUGGCCCAGGAGCUUCCUGGGCCCAUUGACAGGGCCUUAAACUAGGUUUGAAGGGGGAAAGUGUGAUAGCAAGCCUGUCCGCAACAAGAUCAUUACACUCCAGACCUAUAGAUAAUAACAGAUGUCAACUGUGCAGCCUAUAUCUUAAGGUUGUGCCUUCAAAGCAAACAAGAUGUGACCCAUUCAGAAAUCAACUGUCUAUUUCUACUAUUGCAUCUAAGCAACAAAGUGAAGACAAUGCUCCUUAAGGUUAAAAAAAAAAAAAAAGUGAAUAUUCUAGUGAAUGUACCAGUAAAAUGCUAAAUAAAAUUAGUCACCUUUGGAUAACUUA